rnacentral:rRNA from 1 species
UCCUACGGGGGGCAGCAGUGGGGAAUAUUGCACAAUGGGGGAAACCCUGAUGCAGCGACGCCGCGUGAGUGAAGAAGUAUCUCGGUACGUAAAGCUCUAUCAGCAGGGAAGAAAAUGACGGUACCUGACCAAGAAGCCCCGGCUAACUACGUGCCAGCAGCCGCGGUAAUACGUAGGGGGCAAGCGUUAUCCGGAUUCACUGGGUGUAAAGGGAGCGUAGACGGCGACGCAAGUCUGGAGUGAAAGCCCGGGGCCCAACCCCGGGACUGCUCUGGAAACUGCGGCGCUGGAGUACGGGAGGGGCG